UGUUUGCUAUGAUGAAUCACAAGGACGGUAUAUGAGUAAGGCAGCUCUUCAAAAAGUUCUCCUUCAUUGAUUAUGCAUCCUAAACUGAUCAUAUAUUCUGAGCAAAUG